AAAGUCGUAACAAGGUUUCCGUAGGUGAACCUGCGGAAGGAUCAUUCAUAAUAAGUGUUCUACUGCACUUUUUAAAAAUAGUACUCACCUUGUGUGCAAUGUUGUGUGAAAUUCUCGCUCUCGAGUGGUAUUUUCACACCUACACCAACCUAUAAUUUUGAACCACUUUGUCUGAAAAACUAUUAUGAAUACUUAAUUCAAAAUACAACUUUCAACAACGGAUCUCUUGGCUCUC
rnacentral:misc_RNA from 1 species